GCGAGGGUGUGCGGCGAGGUGCUGGCUUCGGGGGGAAGCGGCCACCACCGCCGGCCUCCGCCGCUCCGCGCCUCUCUCCCGGCCACCCUGCGCCGCCAGGGCCCCGCGGACCUGCAAACCCGAGGCCGAGAGCGGAACUGCCCUGCCGUUUCCCGGGCUCGGGGAUCUCGGGGCUCGCGAUGGCGAUGCGCCGCGAGGAAAGGCGAGGAGCUGCGUGGGGGCUGAGUGUCCUCGGAGCGCCGGGACGCGGGGAGCGCACGCCCCCGGGCUGGGGAAGCUGCCGCCCCGGGACCCCCUGGGCCAAGUCCCUCCAUCUUCGCGGCGCCCGAGCACUGAGGCCGGGGCGGCCGGCGCUCUGGCCUUGGAUGGAAAGUGGGAGAUGGGAUGCGGGGCUCCGGACCUCCUAACGUGGAUUACUUGGUGCGUCCCAGCCGGGCUCAGAAGACUCAGGACCUCCCUCCAUCCUUGGAUUGAUUCAUUCCACCUGGCCGUCGGGUCGCGUUACCCGGAGGUGAAGUCAGAAGUUUGAGGCUGGCCUGCGUAGAUGCUCCGAACCAGACAAAAAGCUAUCUUCUGUUGACGCGGACGCACAGACUGCUGUGAGGACGCCCCCGCCCUUGCGGGUGGCCACGGGGACCCAUGCCAGAACACGGUUUUUCCUUACAGACUCUGGCUACCAGAGCGGGGGUGCUUAUUGAGGGUCCUCUUCCCCCAGGAUGCCUGUGACACUCACUGACAGCAGCUCAGGCCCUGCGAAACACGGGUCAAAUAUUCCGUCACCACCGUGCGCCUGGCUAAAAACCCUUCUGGAUCAAUCUUGGCUACACUGCAGAACCAACAGUGUCCGUACAUCCCGCUUCCCGAACAAAUGGAUGCCUCGUCUUUGUAGAAGAAUUAAAGUUGUACGUAUCUGUCUUCUUGUUGCAGGGAAUGGGUUCCUGUGACCGUGUAGUGACUUCGGUGUCUUCUAAGGGGAACAUUGGGGACCUUCUUGACAUCUCAGAUUCACCACCAAGUGAGUGAGGGACCCUGUUGAGGAAGUUUCGUGCAGUUGAAACGUACGGCUUGUCCGAGGGCUUUGCCCGCCUUCCUUUCCGGGCACAGACUCCUCGUCCUGGUUAGGUUCCUUCAGGUUUCAAGGAACAGAGAUCCACUCAUCCCCCUUCCGUGAAUGAGGGCUUAUUCCAAGUUGCGUUGGAAACGAGGUAGACAGGAAACAGUCUACCCAGCAGCUGCCCAGCAAGACCUUUCUAGAAGCCCAAAGUCAUCCACGGUGUCCAUUCUGCUCAGCAGCAGGACCCACUGCUCCCGCUUCUAGCCUUCUGCGGUGGUGACGAGCUGACGGAGCUGCUCCAGUUUGCCCGGGGCCGAGCGCUUUCCCGGGACACACGACGUUCAGCGAUAAACCCGGGACAGCCCUGGGCGAACCAGAACAAUUGUCACCCUACUGGGUGACCGGAUGGCACCGCCUCGGCUGCUGCUUCUCCUGCUGGGGCUCGCGGAUGCUCUCCUCUCGUCCGGCCAGCUGCCGUUCAGAGCCCCUGUGUCUGACCACAUCACUGACCACCGGGCAGGCUACAGAUGGAGGCCGUUGGUUCAGGCACCCAUCUUGACCAAAUCCAGCGUUUUCCAGGGUGGUAGGGUUCCAUGACGCUGUAUAAAAACCUGGGUCUAACCAACCAGCUGAGACCACGUCCUUCAGAGGAGGUGCUGUGGAUACCGGAUGUGUCAGCCAUUCAAAGUAUCAGGGAUUCCUCUCCAAUACUGGCCUACUUAAAAAGAUGAGGCUAACCUUUCUUGUUAAGAACAAAGGAGUUCAUUUGAAACAAAAACACAGCCACCGGGAACAGACUACAAUGCGUGCAUGCUCGCAUGUGUGAGGUACAUGCACAUACCACAUAGAAUAAGCCAAGAAGAAAAUUCUGCAUCUUUGCGAGACAGAGGCUAAGAGCUAAGAACCAUUGGGAUGAAGGGGGCACCCGGGGGGCUCAGUCAGUUGAGUGUCCGACUUCGGCUCAGGUUAGGAUCUCACUCGUGGGUUCGAGUCCUGGGUCAGGCUCUGUGCUGACGGCUCAGAGCUUGGAGGCUGCUUCGGAUUCUGUGUCUUCCUCUCCCCUGUUCAUGCUCGUCUCUCUCAAAAUAAAUAAACAUUAACAUUUUU
ensembl:lncRNA